GAAUAAUUAUAAAUUCAAGAAGAGUUUUUACAAUUCUUUCUUGGCCAAAAACUACUAAAAAGUUACAUAUUUGUUUUGAUCCAUGAAGAUAGCAGAAAAUAUGGUAGAAAUUGUCAAGUUUGUUUAUGUUAUGAUUAUAUUUCUUUCACUAUUUCUUUUUGCAACAUGUUUAAGGGAAAUACCUGAUUUUUGGUAUAGAAAAUGUCAUCUAGAUUCAGGAUGUCCAGACGACAUGUGCAAGACUUCAUUUAUACCUUAUUGUAGUAAUAAGAUGUGUAAGUGUCUUUUAGUUAAGACUUUGAUUCUAUGAGUACCAAACUCAAGAGAUUAUACAAAAAAAAAAUCUUGAAUGUUUACUAAACUAUCUUUUAUUUAGUUAUUGUUUUGGCAGCCAAAUGGAUUGCUUGUUGAAUAACUUCUUUUAUAAGAUGAAUAGAUCUAGUUUGUUGUUACAUGGUUUUCCAUCGGUUAAAGAAUACUUCAUUAUCAAUCAUAAACUUUUUUUUAGAGGUUUGAUUGCAAAUGUUAGUAAAGUUUUUACUAUUUUUUUUUAUGUUCAUAACCAACACCAAAUUUAUUAUAAGAUGUUUUUUUUAUCUAAUAUAAUAUUUAAGUCGUGUCUUUUUUUAUGAUUUUUAAUUAGGCAAAUGCUUUCUUCUUGUAAGAUGUUCGUAACCUCAUAUUCUUUAUGAUUUUUCAUUAGACAAGUGAUUUCUUCUUCCUUAGCCAUAUCAUUAUUAUUCCAAGAUAGGUAGGUUCUCUUUGUUUCUCUUUGAAGUUUCGUAAAUCUUCUCUGAUUUUGGUUUCCUCUUUGGUUAUGGUUUUGAGGGAAAAGUGACCUUAUGUGUAAUUUAUUUCCACAUUGAUGGCGGCAUGUUGGAAUUAAUGGGGAUCUUUCUUCAUUUUGUCUCUAGAAUUUUGAAGUUUGUUUUUGUGCCUUAAAAAUUCCUUGAAUAUUUGAAGCAUGAGUUUCAUGUCUUCAUUAAUUUCUCUUUUGCACUCUUCAUCUUCUUACUCUGGAUCUCUAAUGUUUGCGACUUUUAGUGCAGUGUUUUUCCUCUUCUUCUUGUCACUUCUUGAUCAUUAGAAAGUAUCUUCAAAU
rnacentral:lncRNA from 1 species